rnacentral:tRNA from 1 species
GGGAAUGUGGCUUAGUGGUAGAGUGCUUGCCUAACAUGCAUGAAGCCCUGGGUUCGAUUCCAUAGUACCA